rnacentral:rRNA from 1 species
AGUGAGCGCUGGCGGUAGGCCUAACACAUGCAAGUCGAACGGCAGCACAGUAAGAGCUUGCUCUUACGGGUGGCGAGUGGCGGACGGGUGAGGUAUACAUCGGAAUCUACUUUUUCGUGGGGGAUAACGUAGGGAAACUUACGCUAAUACCGCAUACGACCUACGGGUGAAAGCAGGGGAUCUUCGGACCUUGCGCGAUUGAAUGAGCCGAUGUCGGAUUAGCUAGUUGGCGGGGUAAAGGCCCACCAAGGCGACGAUCCGUAGCUGGUCUGAGAGGAUGACCAGCCACACUGGAACUGAGACACGGUCCAGACUCCUACGGGAGGCAGCAGUGGGGAAUACUGGACAAUGGGCGCAAGCCUGAUCCAGCCAUACCGCGUGUGUGAAGAAGGCCUUCGGGUUGUAAAGCCCUUUUGUUGGGAAAGAAAAGCAGCAGGUUAAUACCCCGCUGUUCUGACGGUACCCAAAGAAUAAGCACCGGCUAACUUCGUG